UUAUUGGGUGUUGUGUGUAGAUUGAUGAAUCAUUUUUUUCUUUAAUCCAUUUUAGAAUAAGGCUGUAACGUAACAACAUUUGGAAAAAGGGAAUUGGUCUGAAUACUUUCCAAACGCACUGGAUAUGGGUUAAUACAGAUUUUGAGCCAGUUUGCGACAUCACAUAAAUAAUAUUGCAGCAAUGAGAAAUGUAAAUUUAUUGUGGAUUAUAAUUAAUGGAAAGUUUUCAUAGGCUUUGAUGCAUUUUUCAUUAUGGCACAGCAAGUUUGGUAUUUUAAAGUGGAAAUUACAAUCUUUAGAAUCCUUUUCAAACAUUGAAUACACAUUACAUUUCAAUUUCCUGCCGUGCAGAAAAAUUCUCAGAAAAAAAAGGAUCAAAUGAAGAUCCUACAUCUGCAUGAUGCUAAAGUUUUGUUUAAUUUUGUCCGACAUGUAUCACCUGCCAUGAAACCUGAGAGGAGACUGAAACGGUACUUCAAGAAGUUGAAUAGGACGGUUCUGAGAAAAAUGAACUACAGUGCACAGGUUUGGGAGCUCAUCAGGAAAGAGAUGAAACGUCAUCUGCAAAGAUUGGAUAUCCUUGUGGCACAAUUGUACUGAUCAUCCAGACUCAUUUCAGAAGCUUGUAGUGGAAAUUUCCUGUAUUUACCAAAUCAUGAGAACAAACCACCACACAAGUCAGAGUUAUCAUAAAGUCCAUCUUUAAUUAUUAUGAGCUCCAUCACAACCCUGUGACUCUCAGAUCAAUUCAGUGUCUAUAAAUGAAUUUUCUGAGAGUGCUUACACAUUGCAACUGAGAUCCUUUAUAGCAAAGACACACAUAGCCAGACAGCAUUGGCUAUAAAUUAUCGUUCAGCUUUGUCUCCUAAACUAUGUUCCUAUCUCGCUCUUGGUACCACUCAGGACCAACACCAUUACCCCACCCAAUGGCAUAUAUCAAAUACACCCACCCCUGGACAAGAUCACAGAGAGACAGUGACUGGCACACAGACAUUGUGGAGCCAAGAGAUAAUUGGUUCCCCCUCAAACAUCCCUUCACCUGAUUUAAAAGUUACGUUUACAUAUGAAGACAAGCUUGACUUCUCCCCUUUCUGUGGCCCAAGUAACUGAACCCUGACAGAGAAUAGAUAACUGCAGACGGCCAACACUAUAGUACAACAAAAUACAUUCAAAAUGACAAGUAUCUCACAAGCAUAUUAUGAAAAUAAAACAUCUUAUCUAUGUUACCUAAAGAAUUCUGAUUCUGCUACGACAAGCUACACCCAGUUUAUAAAGCAUGAAACCAAUCAUGUGGGACCCUGUCAGUCUAUUUAUUAUAUUUGAAUAAUACAUUAUUGUUUUUUAUUUUAAUAAUUUAUUAUUUAUAUUUUGUGUUUCCCUUUUGUACCUGUGUUGAACUGUAUUUCCGGUCUACUUUAAAAAGCAGUAAAAAAAUAAUAUUGAAAAUGUGAAUAAAAACGUAUUUUGUAUAACUUGC